AUGGCGCAGGACCUGGACGAGCUCUUGGACGAGGUGGAGUCCAAGUUCUGCGGGUCAGACCCCCUGGCCCUGGGCGCGGCGGAGCGGCCCCCGGGCGGCCGCGGCGUCCUCAGCAACGACCGGAGCCGAGCGGAGGCGAAAGAAAAGCUCAGAUCAACAGAAAGAUUUAAAAGAGAAGAUGAUCUUGACAGUCUUAUUAAUGAAAUAUUUGAAGAUCCCAACUUUGAUAAAAAAUCCUUUAAAUUAAAGUCUAAAUCUUCAGAUACCACAUCUGUCAGAGCGUCCAUUCAAGGCCUUGGUAAAAGUUGCAGCCCUGUGUACCUGGGGGGAAGCUCUGCUCCAUGUGGCAUCGGAACGACUACUUCACAGAGAGCGUGUGACCAUCUGCGCUGUACAGCGUGCGAUUUCAGGGUAGUAAGCUACGAUGACUGCAUGUGGGACAAGUCAUGCGAUUAUCUCUUUUUCAGCCUCUUCUCCCGACCUGUGGAGCGGAGAUGACAGUGCUUACCUCGCGGCUCAUGGGAGGAGGCCCCUAAAGUGACUUCUGCAGAGCGUUCAGCGGGUGCCUGGGCGUGAUCUGCCUGCUGCUAACUGUAUCCUGCGGCGGGGGAAUCGGUGUUUUCACCUGGCUGGAAACAGAAGCCUUCCCAAGUCUGAGCCACCGGCCUCAAGGACAGGCCCAGCCUGGAAUCAGCCGACCCAGGAAGUUUACGCAGAAGCACUUGUCACCUCGAGCUUCUGGAAGGAAACAAAAACAUUUUAACUGAUUCACUUCAAAAAUCGACUCCUUCAGCCCUUCACGGCUCUAAAGUGAAAGGAGCAAUGAAAUCGUUCCUCACCCACCACGAAGAUGGGAAAUGAGGGCAGGCGACAGGCUGGGCAGAGGUGACGGAGGAAAUCGCAAGGGUGAGUCUGCUGACAGCCUCUCAGAGACCGGAAAACCGUAUCUUCAUGACCUUUGUGCGUGACUGUUCACGAAUACUCCCAGAAUACAGUGAUUUGGUGUUAUUUUUACAGUGUUUUUCUUUUAUUUAAAUGUACAGAAAAACAAGAAAAUCAAUGAUUUUAUAUUGUCACAUUCUGUG